CUGGCAUCAAAAAGUGUCCAUCACUUUGCUCAAAAAAAUUGUGUUUUUUAUCGCAAUUCCGAGAGUAACCACUGGAAAGAGUGCGACGCUCCAGUCUUCAAAACAUCAACAUGUCAACAAUUGAAUGUCUGAGACCCACUUAUCAUCAUAAAACCUGGCAUAAAGAUCUACCUUCUCUGUAAACAGGAAGGCUUGCCAUCUCCAAAGAUGUCUACACUUCAACAAGUAUGUCUAAUAAACUGGCCUGUGAUUAAGG